UAAUAAUUAAGGGAGCGAGUGAGGCCACUCUGGCUGGAGACAACUAAACCACACCUGCCAUUAUCUCUCAUUCUCCGUUGCUUCUUCUUCGAUCCCCACUUUCCUCAUUUCCACCGAUUCGAAUCAUUUCUCUCUCUCUCUCUCUCUCUCUCUCUUUCCUGAUCUGUGAUUUCCCAAACAAAACUGAGAACAACCCAAUAUUUUUGGUACAGUAUCGAUCGAGAAUUUCUGAAAUUACUGCAUUGUUUUUCUGUAA
rnacentral:lncRNA from 1 species